rnacentral:rRNA from 1 species
UACGGCCUUAUCAUGUUGAAACACCAGGUUCCUCUACAAUCCCCAAGUUAAGCAACGUCGAGCCUGAUCAGUACCUAGAUGGGUGACUGCUUGGGAAUACCAGAUGCU